AUUGAACGCUGGCGGCAGGCCUAACACAUGCAAGUCGAACGAGUGGCGGACGGGUGAGUAAUGUAUGGGAAACUGCCUGAUGGAGGGGGAUAACUACUGGAAACGGUAGCUAAUACCGCAUACCAUCAGAUGUGCCCAGAGGGGAUUAGCUAGUUGGUGGGGUAAGGGCUCACCAAGGCGACGAUCCCUAGCUGGUCUGAGAGGAUGACAAGCCACACUGGAACUGAGCAACGGUCCAGACCCCUACGGGAGGCAGCAGUGGGGAAUAGUGCACAAGGGGCUCAAGCCUGAUGCAGCCAUGCCGCGUGUAGGAAGAAGUCCUUAGGGUUGUAAAGUACUUUCAGCGGUGAGGCGUUACCCGCAGAAGAAGCACCGGCUAACUCCGUGCCAGCAGCCGCGGUAAUAC
rnacentral:rRNA from 1 species